UUUGUUAAAGUGGAUGUACAUAGUGAUAGCAUGUAUCUUCUAUCUUUCAGUACAGUUGGACGUACAGCCAAAACAGACCCAUAGCUGGAUCAGUGACCUCCUUUGUUUUUUGGUUACCAUAUAAGUGAAAUACAUUCAGUGACAAGAAAGUAGCCUUGGUUUCUAAAAAAUCAUAAACUCUGUAUUGAAAACUUGACUUUUGAGCCUUUGAAACCAUUUGCACUGCAUCUGUUUUACCACUGUCUUCACAGAAUAGACUAUUUUGAAAAAAAUUCCAAUAAGACAAAGGAACAUCAUAUCUUUUGUUGGCAAAACAUAAACUCCAGAGUCAGAAAAUGUUCCUGAAUAUUAAUCUUUGAUAGGAGCCAUAUAACCUUAAAGAAAGUAAACAUACUACGAAAAUAACAUACUUCAGCAAAUCUGCUUACUUAUGAAAAAUAUGUUUAAGGUUAUAGCUUCUCUGUCAGUAGUGGGAAUCCUACCAAAUUCAGAUUUGUUUUACCUUUGUGUUCAUAGUUGUUCGAGUGGAUCCUUGUUUAAUAUUAACCAAUUUGAUUUGGCACAGAUUCCCAAUUAUGCAGCAAACCACAGAGAAGAUUUCAUGUAAUGUUGGAAGGCAAAACAAAACAUGAUUGCAUUACAUCUUCUGCCAGUGCUUUUCUUAACAAGCUUGAACUGAAUAGCAAUAAAUAACAGGAAUGAGGCAAUUUUAUCCCCAUAUUCAACAAUUUGUUCUUAAAUUUGAAAUGCAAGUAUACCAAUUAUCUCUAGUCUGCUUCCAGAUAAGCAGUGCCUUAUGAUAAUCCCAAUGCAUGUCUUUUUAGAAUAGUAAACAAGUAACGAAAAGCAGAUCAGGGCUAGCAUUAUGGAAGAGGAUUGAAAAACUGGGAAGAUUACCUCAAGAAACCGCAAUUUCUCAAAGAAAGUAAGUCCUGGUAUACUUCAGUGAGAUAUUGUCCAGGUUAGUAUGUUAGUACCAGAGCAGGGUAGUGAUCCACUUAAUUUGGAUUUGAAAACAUGCCCAUCACAGUUACCAGUGGUAUAUUGCUUCAGUUUUAAAUUUUGGAAAAUGACUUAAACUGCUACUCUGAAACCUAGCUUGAGAAAUUGACCAGCCAUAUAAGUACAAUAGUAUUGUCUGUGUGUACUGAGUUCAAGAUUUAUUUCAUGGUAACUACUGUGUACUGUUGCCCACAUUAUUGCUGCUGCUGCACGAGGCUUCCAUUUUGCAGUCCUUACAUAGGUAGUCCAUUGGUGCUAAUGGAUGCCCUAAUGUGAGUAAGGUUUACAGAAUUGUGUAACUCUAGUUACCUGCAUAACUAUUUGUUGCUUAAUCUCAAUUUUUCAAUAAAAUUACACACAGAAUGCCAUUAGUUUUAUGACCUUGCAAUAAGAUAUAUUGCUAAAUCCCAAAUAGAAGCAACUUAUUUGAUUUAUUUCUUAUAGGAGUGAAUCUAAUGAAAUUCUAAUUGUCCUCUGGGUGGCUUUAUCCAGAGGUUCAUAUUUCCUAAGGAGCUGGAGUUUUUUCUUUUUCAGUCUUUGCACAUGUUUUUCAAUAUGUUGUAUGCAUACUAUACAGUGAACUACUUAAACAUCUAUACAGUACUGUUAGUAGAGAUAAGUGGAACUAUUAAUUUUGGAUAGAAAGGCAGGAAUUAUACCAACAUCUGUGAAGGUGUUUUGGUCACAAGUCUGACUUUUUUGUCUUUGUCUUAAUGGUUUUUUUAGUAAUGUCAUGGCAUUUUAAUUGGGUUAUGGAAUCCACCAUGUUGAAGAUAUAGAAAAUAUUAAUAUCUCUUAUUUUGUAUAACUACUUUGUUAACAUUGCAGACCCAAAAACCUUGAGAGAGAGAUAUGAGGAAAUAUUGACAUUUCUUGUUUAUCUGCCAGGCUGUCUAGUAAUUUCUCAAGGUUAGCUUUAAAUUAGGAAGGUUCUUGUACUUGACAUACAAGUUUUAUUGAACUUAAAUACAAAAAGUAUUAAGGUCUUGAUCUUACACCACUUGAAUCAAUGGGAAUGGGAACUGUCGUAACUUUAUGUCAGAUCUUGCCUCAGCUAACCAGUUAAAUAUCCUAAAUAGCUAAGGAGGACAGAAAGGGGGAAACAAAUAAAACUAAAUGAAGGAAUAAAAUCUUAAUAUCUGGCCUUAGUAUGCUAUAUAUGGGAGAUAAUUAACUGCAAAUAACCUAACACCUAAUAAAUAACCUAAUCAUUUUUAAUAUCCCCAGAUUUGGUCCAUAUUUCAUGCGUUCCUGUUUGUUGUCCCUGUUUGAGGGCAUUACUGACUGUCAGGAUAAGGGGCCAAAACAAUGGGAAAGGGGAGAUCAGGAACAACUUUCCAUUUUAUUUGCAAGUAAAGACUCUAAAAAGAAAGUUGCAUGUUUUUUUUUUGUUU